UUCUUAAUUGUUUUGAAUGCAAUUGAAUAGUAAUACGAUUUUUAAAGCCAUAAAGUAGGUAUUAUGUUCAGUUAUUCUUUUUGUACUCUUAAUACCUCUGUUGAAAUCAGGUUUUGAACAUAGGUUCUCUUCUGUUGGUGUUGCUUUAGGUUUAACAGCUAUAAGUCUAGCCAAAUACCUUAAAAUUAGAUUUUCUCUCUGCAUGAAGAACACAACUAUGACCCAACGUGAUAAUCGGGCACAAAGACGUAUAUCUGGCCGAUGGACAACCCUCAGCCCUGGGUUAUUCACUUUCAAUGCUGCAGUUGUUGCAAACGGAAACUAUUGGAAAAGAAAGACAAUUGUCCUACCCAGCACAACUCCAG